GUUGGAUAGGAGGGUGAGAACGCUGUCAAAUCUUAGAACAAGGACCUGCAAAUGGAUGAUGGGUGCUCUCGGUGAGUUUGUUGAGGUUGAGGUCCUGCUUAGUGCCCUCCUCAACAAGGCAGUGGUGGGUACUUGAAUAAACCGGUGAACCCUGCAAGGUGGUGCCACUGAGAAGCCUCAGGUGCAACAAUUGGUGUUCAGAGCGAACUGCCUCACAACCCUGAGAAUCCAGUUGCAGUCUCUGCAAGACACACUUUGAAGGGAGUGAACAACACUCAGCUGCAGGGUUGUGCCGCUGAUGGGAUCCACUGUGGGCAAGUAUUCUAUGAUCUAGGUUAAAGAUGGACAAUGAAGGUGAAAAUGGAUGGGUCUCCUGUUUCCCAGGGAUUUAGCCCUUUAUUUGCGAGAUUCCUGCUGAUGAUUCCUGAGAAUAUCAAUGGAUUUUCUGUCCUCAAGUGAACAGCAGAGAUCCCAGUCUGUGGUGAUUAAACCUGGGGCAGAUGUCUGUUUUCUAACUCUGGGCCAAAUUUUAACAACAGAAACUCUGAGAACAGGAGAUGAUAAACUUCUAAAUGUCUACAGUGAUAGCUAGUUUUCAUUUUGGUUGUUGUAACUGAAAGACCAAGUCCCUGGUCUCUCUUAACAUGCAAUCAUACAACAAGUCUAUUUGACCUACCUGGUGUCUACAGGCAUUUUGAAAGAGGUCUGCAUUUAUUCCCACUCCUUAGCCUUUUCAGUAAAGUCUUGCAAAGCUUUCCAGUUGAAAUAUCCAUCCAGAGUCUGUGUGGCCUGCAAUUUCCUAUCAUAAAAUAAAUUUUGCAGCUUUGCUGUAAUUCUCUGUUAA